AACGAACGCUGGCGGCAUGCCUAACACAUGCAAGUCGAACGAGACCUUCGGGUCUAGUGGCGCACGGGUGCGUAACGCGUGGGAACCUGCCCUUAGGUUCGGAAUAACUCCCCGAAAGGGGUGCUAAUACCGGAUAAUGUCUUCGGACCAAAGAUUUAUCGCCUUUGGAUGGGCCCGCGUUGGAUUAGCUAGUUGGUAGGGUAAAAGCCUACCAAGGCGACGAUCCAUAGCUGGUCUGAGAGGAUGAUCAGCCACACUGGGACUGAGACACGGCCCAGACUCCUACGGGAAGCAGCAGUGGGGAAUAUUGGACAAUGGGCGAAAGCCUGAUCCAGCAAUGCCGCGUGAGUGAUGAAGGCCUUAGGGUUGUAAAGCUCUUUUACCCGGGAUGAGAAUGACAGUACCGGGAGAAUAAGCUCCGGCUAACUCCGUG
rnacentral:rRNA from 1 species